rnacentral:lncRNA from 1 species
GUCGGUGAUUCAGGGGGAUGGAGAGAUUGACGGGGACAUCACGCAUCGUAUAGGAGCAGGGUAGGCUAAGUGGAGGCUUGCAUCAGGAGUCCUGUGUGAUAGGAAAGUCCCACACAAACUCAAGGGGAAAUUCUAUAGAGCAGUGGUUAGACCUGCGAUGCUGUAUGGGGCGGAGUGCUGGCCCGUAAAGAAUUCCCAUGUUCAG